UGACUGGGUCUGCUGACGUGGCAU
rnacentral:miRNA from 1 species